GUGAACGCCCUCACGGGCUUAUACUAUUCCAAACCUCUGUGAAGCGUGCCCUUCGGGGCUAUUUUACAAACAUGGUGUAAUGAACGUCAUAUAUCAUAACAAAACA
rnacentral:misc_RNA from 1 species